rnacentral:rRNA from 1 species
AAUGAACGUUGGCGGCGUGGAUUAGGCAUGCAAGUCGAGCGAGAACCGUAGCAAUACGGGGACAGCGGCGAAAGGGACAGUAAUGUGUAGGUACCUACCCCUGGGUUCGGGAUAGCUGCGGGAAACUGCAGGUAAUACCGAAUAACGUCUACGGACCAAAGGUGUGAUUCCACCUGGGGAGGGGCCUGCAUCCUAUUAGCUUGUUGGCGGGGUAAUGGCCCACCAAGGCAACGAUGGGUAGCGGGUGUGAGAGCACGACCCGCGUCAUUGGGACUGAGAAACUGCCCAGACACGUACGGGUGGCUGCAGUCGAGGAUCUUCGGCAAUGGGCGAAAGCCUGACCGAGCGACGCCGCGUGCGGGAUGAAGGCCUUCGGGUUGUAAACCGCUGUCGUAGGGGAGGAAAUGCAGGGGGGUUCUCCCCUUUGCUUGACCUAUUCUAGGAGGAAGUACGGGCUAAGUUCGUGCCAGCAGCCGCCGUAA